GACGAACGCUGGCGGCGUGCUUAACACAUGCAAGUCGAACGGAAAGGCCCUGCUUGCAGGGUACUCGAGUGGCGAACGGGUGAGUAACACGUGGGUGAUCUGCCCUGCACUUCGGGAUAAGCCUGGGAAACUGGGUCUAAUACCGGCUAGGAGCCAUUUUUAGUGUGAUGGUUGGAAAGUUUUUUCGGUGUAGGAUGAGCUCGCGGCCUAUCAGCUUGUUGGUGGGGUAAUGGCCUACCAAGGCGGGGACGGGUAGCCGGCCUGAGAGGGUGGACGGCCACAUUGGGACUGAGAUACGGCCCAGACGCCUACGGGAGGCAGCAGUGGGGAAUAUUGCACAAUGGGCGCAAGCCUGAUGCAGCGACGCCGCGUGGGGGAUGACGGCCUUCGGGUUGUAAACUCCUUUCGCUAGGGACGAAGCUUUUUGUGACGGUACCUAGAUAAGAAGCACCGGCUAACUACGUG
rnacentral:rRNA from 1 species